rnacentral:lncRNA from 1 species
GGUGCAUGUCUCUGCCGAGACGGAGCCGACACUCCAGAACUGCAUAGGGUCUUCUUGACACACAGGUACCAAGACCCAGGAGUGACGUCAGGACGUCAGCAGUGACGUAAUUACCGUCAUCAUGCUGCAGUGGACUCUGCGCCUGACGCUGGUGUCCGCCGCCGUCGCCGCCGCCGCUGGCUACUGCCCUUCCCCAGAAUGGAAGCAAUACAGGGACAAAUGCUACUGGCUCUCCGACUAUGGUCUUCACUGGGAUGACGUGUCCAACGUGUGUACCACGGUUCAUCCCGACGCAACGAUGGUUUCCAUCCAUGACGCCGAAGAGAACACAUUCGUCGCGGAGGAGGUUUCAGUAUAUAGCGAUGGGGGCAAGAAAUACAGCUGGAUCGGCCUGUCGAGACACAACAGCACUUCCUCGUGGACCUGGACCGACGGAACUCCGUACAACUUCAGUCUCUGGUUUGAUAACGACUCGGAUAACUUUGGUGGGGACUGUGCAAUGAUCAAUUAUUAUUCCUGGACCACUUGGGCUAGCCACCCAUGCAGCAGCUAUCAUCUUUAUUUUAUCUGUCAGAUAUUUGCCAUCUGAAAAACAACGUCUGAUAUCGGCAACGUACUCGGUUCCGCAAGAUUAGCUGCCAUCGUUGCUGCCAAUGGUUACUUCAGUUCAGUUCAAUGUAUUUCGAAUCAUUCCAUUGCAUGGUUUAGUAUUUGAUUCGAUCACACACACACACACACAAAAGACAUGGUACACCUAACCCCUCCCCCCCCCCCCCCACACACGCACACAUGCACAAACACUGCCGCAGUAGACUGAUGAGUGCAAAGCAUCAAGCGCGUCACAAUUUUCACGGAUAUGACAGAAGGCAAAAACGCUAGGCAGCAAGGUGGCGAAGAAACUCAGCGUGUGUUCCGGCAGAGCUAGUGGUGGUGGGUGGGAGGUGGUUCCAGGAGGUUGCCGCUCGGUAGGAAAAAGCUCGUCUCGACAUUGAUAGACGAUAAUUUGGUAAUUCUAAUGCACCCGACAGCGUGGAACGUGUGGCGCGCGCAGACACAGCCGCCCGUGUUGUGAACAACGUGCGUAAUGCCGCACUUCAGCGUAAUGCCCCCUUCUACUUCAGCGACACAAAUAAAUUGUGUGCUGAAUAAUGUUAAAAAUUGUAUCAGCCCCAUGCAUAAACCUCAGUAUACCGGCUGCAUACAGCACAGGGUGUCUCAAAAGUAAUGUCACACCCUCCCACAACCUUCAUUUUGCCUUCUAUACCGGCGCAAUAUCAAUAUAAUUUCGCCAGUACUGGCUCCCAGACCAUAUCAGUUGGGGAAACUGUGUUCAAAUCUUCCAUUUUUGGAAGCCUUCCAUUUUUGAAAGGAUUUUCGAUAUAUGGGUACGCAUAUUUCAAAAAUGGGUACGCUGAUAAUCGUACCCAAAUAUAGAAAAUGUUGCGAAUAUGUUGGGACUUACCGAUUUCCACCGAACUUGAGGCAAAUGCGACUAUCGCCCCUGGUCGCUUUCAAUUCGCCAUAAGUAGGUAAUGAGUCGUGGAAAAUUGACAAAAAAAUUACCGAAAAACGAUGGUUUUAUAACACCUUAUCAGACAUUUUGUAAGCAAAAAGCAUCAAAAACGAAAAGUAAAUAUUCUUAAAAGUACUUUAGUGACGGGCCAUGCUUGUUUGAUACCGGCAGACUUUGUUUACAGUGCGGAAUUGUCGGGAAGGAGUAUGGCGGUCCCGGGAGGGUAGUGGCGAGUAAAACAUGUGUUUGUUGCUGUUUUCUGCAUUUAUUAGCAUAUUGCGUAGUUGAUUUCAAAUUUUUAAGACUUUUGCCAAAUAUUUGGGUGGAGGUCUCAUCAUUUUUCAAUGUUUUCCCGGAAUAUGGGACGAAUUACCCCGCGCCCCACUGGGGUCUUUUUAUAACGCGCCCCACUGGGGGGGGGGGCUAUUUAUAGACCCCCCCCUCCUAACUCCGAAACUACUGGGCCGAUUGUCAAAAUUCAAACGGCGUCUGAUAGUCCUGGAAAAACUGUCGAAUUUUAUUUACCUUGAGGUCACCGAUGACUUCACAAGUCAGGUCAAAGUAAAAGUUAUCGACGUUUUGGCUUGUUAACUACUUGAGCUCUGGCCGCCGGCUCAAAAGUCGGAUCAGGCUCAUUUUUGGUUUACACACUCAUGAAUAUAUGAAUAUAUGUCUAAGAUACCCUGAGGGUACCAAACUUUUACUUCGAAUUUUUCAGGUCACGGGCAGGUCAUCCUGGGUCAUGGAAAUAUUCUAUUUAAUCGGUCACGUGACACAUGUUGUAUGGUCCAUAGUUAGGCCAUAGAUUUCGAAAUCAGUGUCGUCUGUGUCAUAUCAGGCCAUUUUCAGCCAAAAAAAGCUGAGGUCAGGUCAUUUUCAGGUAAAAAAGGUCAAAUUUUGAAGUUGAAAUUGUUCAACAAAAAAGGUAUCUAUCAGAUGCAGCUUGAGCUCAGGAACACGAUGGUGCUAUUUAUUUAAGUGUACGAUGUCAAAAACGUACAAAAAAAAAAAUGAUUGGAAAAUUUGAUAAUGACAUAUUUUUUUUUCUAUAAAGCGUAUACCUUGGCUAUUUUUGAUGAUAGCGGGCCAAAACUUCCUAGAGUAGGUCACCGGUAUGUGUUCUAUCACAUAUAUUCCGUUUUUUUUUCGAAAAAAUCAAAAACUUUUUUGAAAAAAAAAAAUUGGGGAAAAAUAUAUUUUGAUAGUUAAAUGUAUACUUUCUAAAUUUUCAAAAUUUUGAUAAUCCGAGAUAGCAGCUUGAUAGCCCUGUUCAUUCUGAGUCCCCUCAUGCAAAAAAAUCGUAUCUAUCUUAAAAACUAAGCUCUUGAGAGCAUAGUGACCCCCUAGGUGAUUUGUGAAUUUUUGAAUUAGACUUGCGAUACUGUGCCACUCGCUCACCGCGCUGAUUGCUUGUUACUAUGUAUCGAAAUGUAACGAUUUAUUGAAUCACUGAUGAUGUUUCUGUUAAGAGAAGAAACGUUUGAAAAUGUUACUAAAUGAUCAAUACAACUUUGUGCCUUUUAAUCAGGUUCAUUCUCAUCUUAAAUGCGAACUUUUGUAUUGCAAAAGGUGGAAUAAUACAUAUUUUCCUCAAAUAACUAAUGUUUUAUUAACCUGCGCCGUGCUGGGGGGGGGGGGGGAGCGUACCGGGAGAGCCGGAAGCGAAAACAAUACACACCUUGCUAGCGCCACAGCUGGGUGUGUCUGCCUGGCGUCUCCCCUGGCCACUGCACUGUGCUUCAGCUGUGGGUCUGUGGGGCACGGCCUGACAGGCAUGCGUGCGAACGCGUAACCAGUUGUUUGAGCCGAUUAUGUCACCUUCGACCCUGAAGGCUGUUGUUCAAUGUGUACCUGAUCCGGUGUGAAUCGUUCAUGUCAUGUGAUACAUUAUGUGACCUGAUAAUUUCAGCAUUUCUCAAACAAUUAUGGCGUUGUUGUCCCAAAGUUGGGUGACGCGUCGCAUCUGUCGACAUUAUCGUGGUUAUCGGUUUGGCAGUGGCGCACAAUACAUAUGAAUAUACCUAUGUA